UACAGAUGAGAACACUGAAUUCCAGUUUGAUUGCAAUGGAAAGAUAAUUUUGGGUAAUGUUUUAUCAUUGUGUGUUAUAUGUGUGUAUGUGUAUAUGUAAAUAAAUGUGCAUGUAUACGCUUGUGUGUUUUAGGUGCAACCAUGAAUCCUCAAUCCUCAAACACGGUUGAUACUGCAGCAUGCAGUCAAAUAUCAGCAUUCAGUCAAAUCAGCCACCAUAUGAAGAGCAAACGUCACAGUGUGACAAGCCACAAG